rnacentral:rRNA from 1 species
UACAGAGGUCUCAAGCGUUGUUCGGAUUCAUUGGGCGUAAAGGGUGCGUAGGCGGCGGGGUAAGUCGGAUGUGAAAUCCCAGGGCUCAACCCUGGAACUGCAUUCGAUACUGCCUUGCUCGAGUACUGGAGAGGAGACUGGAAUUUACGGUGUAGCGGUGAAAUGCGUAGAUAUCGUAAGGAAGACCAGUGGCGAAGGCGGGUCUCUGGACAGUUCCUGACGCUGAGGCACGAAGGUCAGGGGAGCAAACGGG